rnacentral:rRNA from 1 species
GACGAACGCUGGCGGCGUGCUUAACACAUGCAAGUCGAACGGAAAGGCCCUGCUUUUGUGGGGUGCUCGAGUGGCGAACGGGUGAGUAACACGUGAGUAACCUGCCCUUGACUUUGGGAUAACUUCAGGAAACUGGGGCUAAUACCGGAUAGGAGCUCCUGCUGCAUGGUGGGGGUUGGAAAGUUUCGGCGGUUGGGGAUGGACUCGCGGCUUAUCAGCUUGUUGGUGGGGUAGUGGCUUACCAAGGCUUUGACGGGUAGCCGGCCUGAGAGGGUGACCGGCCACAUUGGGACUGAGAUACGGCCCAGACUCCUACGGGAGGCAGCAGUGGGGAAUAUUGCACAAUGGGCGGGAGCCUGAUGCAGCAACGCCGCGUGCGGGAUGACGGCCUUCGGGUUGUAAACCGCUUUCGCCUGUGACGAAGCGUGAGUGACGGUAAUGGGUAAAGAAGCACCGGCUAACUACGUGCCAGCAGCCGCGGUGAUACGUAGGGUGCGAGCGUUGUCCGGAUUUAUUGGGCGUAAAGGGCUCGUAGGUGGUUGAUCGCGUCGGAAGUGUAAUCUUGGGGCUUAACCCUGAGCGUGCUUUCGAUACGGGUUGACUUGAGGAAGGUAGGGGAGAAUGGAAUUCCUGGUGGAGCGGUGGAAUGCGCAGAUAUCAGGAGGAACACCAGUGGCGAAGGCGGUUCUCUGGGCCUUUCCUGACGCUGAGGAGCGAAAGCGUGGGGAGCGAACAGGCUUAGAUACCCUGGUAGUCCACGCUGUAAACGGUGGGUACUAGGUGUGGGGUCCAUUCCACGGGUUCCGUGCCGUAGCUAACGCUUUAAGUACCCCGCCUGGGGAGUACGGCCGCAAGGCUAAAACUCAAAGGAAUUGACGGGGCCCCGCACAAGCGGCGGAGCAUGCGGAUUAAUUCGAUGCAACGCGUAGAACCUUACCUGGGUUUGACAUGGAUCGGGAGUGCUCAGAGAUGGGUGUGCCUCUUUUGGGGUCGGUUCACAGGUGGUGCAUGGCUGUCGUCAGCUCGUGUCGUGAGAUGUUGGGUUAAGUCCCGCAACGAGCGCAAUCCUUGUUCACUGUUGCCAGCACGUUAUGGUGGGGACUCAGUGGAGACCGCCGGGGUCAACUCGGAGGAAGGUGGGGAUGACGUCAAGUCAUCAUGCCCCUUAUGUCCAGGGCUUCACGCAUGCUACAAUGGCUGGUACAGAGAGUGGCGAGCCUGUGAGGGUGAGCGAAUCUCGGAAAGCCGGUCUCAGUUCGGAUUGGGGUCUGCAACUCGACCUCAUGAAGUCGGAGUCGCUAGUAAUCGCAGAUCAGCAACGCUGCGGUGAAUACGUUCCCGGG